rnacentral:rRNA from 1 species
UAGAUUUGAUCAUGGCUCAGGACGAACGCUGGCGGCGUGCUUAACACAUGCAAGUCGAGCGUGAAAGGCCCUUCGGGGUACUCGAGCGGCGAACGGGUGAGUAACACGUGAGUAACCUGCCCCAAGCUUUGGGAUAACCCCGGGAAACCGGGGCUAAUACCGGAUAUUACUUCUGGCCGCAUGGCUGGGGGUGGAAAGUUUUUCGGCUUGGGAUGGGCUCGCGGCCUAUCAGCUUGUUGGUGGGGUGAUGGCCUACCAAGGCGACGACGGGUAGCCGGCCUGAGAGGGCGACCGGCCACACUGGGACUGAGACACGGCCCAGACUCCUACGGGAGGCAGCAGUGGGGAAUAUUGCACAAUGGGCGGAAGCCUGAUGCAGCGACGCCGCGUGAGGGAUGACGGCCUUCGGGUUGUAAACCUCUUUCAGCAGGGACGAAGCGAGAGUGACGGUACCUGCAGAAGAAGCACCGGCCAACUACGUGCCAGCAGCCGCGGUAAGACGUAGGGUGCGAGCGUUGUCCGGAUUUAUUGGGCGUAAAGAGCUCGUAGGCGGCUUGUCGCGUCGACCGUGAAAACUUGGGGCUCAACUCCAAGCCUGCGGUCGAUACGGGCAGGCUAGAGUUCGGUAGGGGAGACUGGAAUUCCUGGUGUAGCGGUGAAAUGCGCAGAUAUCAGGAGGAACACCGGUGGCGAAGGCGGGUCUCUGGGCCGAUACUGACGCUGAGGAGCGAAAGCGUGGGGAGCGAACAGGAUUAGAUACCCUGGUAGUCCACGCUGUAAACGUUGGGCGCUAGGUGUGGGGGGCCUCUCCGGUUCCCUGUGCCGCAGCUAACGCAUUAGGCGCCCCGGCUGGGGAGUACGGCCGCAAGGCUAAAACUCAAAGGAAUUGACGGGGGCCCGCC